GGUCAAGCGAACAAGUGCAUGUGGUGGAUGCCUUGGCGAUCACAGGCGAUGAAGGACGCGGUAGCCUGCGAAAAGCCCCGGGGAGCUGGCAAACAAGCUUUGAUCCGGGGAUGUCCGAAUGGGGAAACCCACUCCGUAUGGAGUAUCCAUGACUGAAUACAUAGGUCAUGUGAAGCGAACGCGGUGAACUGAAACAUCUAAGUAACCGCAGGAAAAGAAAUCAACCGAGAUUCCCAAAGUAGUGGCGAGCGAAAUGGGAUGAGCCUUGUACUCUUUAUUUGUAUUGUUAGCCGAACGCUCUGGAAAGUGCGGCCAUAGCAGGUGAUAGCCCUGUAGGCGAAAACAGUAUGAAAGAACUAGGUGUACGACAAGUAGGGCGGGACACGUGAAAUCCUGUCUGAAGAUGGGGGGACCAUCCUCCAAGGCUAAAUACUCGUGAUCGACCGAUAGUGAACCAGUACCGUGAGGGAAAGGCGAAAAGAACCCCGGGAGGGGAGUGAAAUAGAUCCUGAAACCGCAUGCAUACAAACAGUCGGAGCCUCGUAAGGGGUGACGGCGUACCUUUUGUAUAAUGGGUCAGCGACUUACGUUCAGUAGCAAGCUUAACCGUAUAGGGCAGGCGUAGCGAAAGCGAGUCCGAAUAGGGCGUUCAGUUGCUGGGCGUAGACCCGAAACCAGGUGAUCUAUCCAUGGCCAGGAUGAAGGUGCGGUAACACGUACUGGAGGUCCGAACCCACUAACGUUGAAAAGUUAGGGGAUGAGCUGUGGAUAGGGGUGAAAGGCUAAACAAACCUGGAAAUAGCUGGUUCUCUCCGAAAACUAUUUAGGUAGUGCCUCGUGUCUCACCUUCGGGGGUAGAGCACUGUCAUGGUUGGGGGGUCUAUUGCAGAUUACCCCGCCAUAGCAAACUCCGAAUACCGAAGAGUGCAAUCACGGGAGACAGACAUCGGGUGCUAACGUCCGGUGUCAAGAGGGAAACAACCCAGACCGCCAGCUAAGGUCCCCAAAUAUGGCUAAGUGGGAAACGAAGUGGGAAGGCUAAAACAGUCAGGAGGUUGGCUUAGAAGCAGCCACCCUUUAAAGAAAGCGUAAUAGCUCACUGAUCGAGUCGUCCUGCGCGGAAGAUGUAACGGGGCUAAGCCAUAUACCGAAGCUGCGGAUGCGUGCUUGCACGCAUGGUAGGAGAGCGUUCCGUAAGCCUGCGAAGGUGCCUUGUAAAGGGUGCUGGAGGUAUCGGAAGUGCGAAUGCUGACAUGAGUAGCGAUAAAGGGGGUGAAAGGCCCCCUCGCCGUAAGCCCAAGGUUUCCUACGCAACGUUCAUCGGCGUAGGGUGAGUCGGCCCCUAAGGCGAGGCAGAAAUGCGUAGCUGAUGGGAAGCAGGUCAAUAUUCCUGCACCGUCGUUAGAUGCGAUGGGGGGACGGAUCGCGGAAGGUUGUCCGGGUGUUGGACGUCCCGGUCGCUGCAUUGGAGAAGGCGCUUAGGCAAAUCCGGGCGCAGGAUUCAAGGGUGUGGCGCGAGCGACUUCGGUCGCGAAGCAAUUGGAAGUGGUUCCAAGAAAAGCCUCUAAGCUUCAGUCUAACGAUGACCGUACCGCAAACCGACACAGGUGGGCGAGAUGAGUAUUCUAAGGCGCUUGAGAGAACUCGGGAGAAGGAACUCGGCAAAUUGGUACCGUAACUUCGGGAUAAGGUACGCCCUUGUAGCUUGACCAGCCUGCGCUGGAAGGGUGAAGGGGUUGCAAUAAACUGGUGGCUGCGACUGUUUAAUAAAAACACAGCACUCUGCAAACACGAAAGUGGACGUAUAGGGUGUGACGCCUGCCCGGUGCCGGAAGAUUAAAUGAUGGGGUGCAAGCUCUUGAUUGAAGUCCCGGUAAACGGCGGCCGUAACUAUAACGGUCCUAAGGUAGCGAAAUUCCUUGUCGGGUAAGUUCCGACCUGCACGAAUGGCGUAACGAUGGCCACACUGUCUCCUCCCGAGACUCAGCGAAGUUGAAGUGUUUGUGAUGAUGCAAUCUACCCGCGGCUAGACGGAAAGACCCCAUGAACCUUUACUGUAGCUUUGCAUUGGACUUUGAACCGAUCUGUGUAGGAUAGGUGGGAGGCUAUGAAACCGGAACGCUAGUUUCGGUGGAGCCGUCCUUGAAAUACCACCCUGGUUUGUUUGAGGUUCUAACCUUGGUCCGUGAUCCGGAUCGGGGACAGUGCAUGGUAGGCAGUUUGACUGGGGCGGUCUCCUCCCAAAGGGUAACGGAGGAGUACGAAGGUACGCUAGGUACGGUCGGAAAUCGUGCUGAUAGUGCAAUGGCAUAAGCGUGCUUAACUGCGAGACCGACAAGUCGAGCAGGUGCGAAAGCAGGUCAUAGUGAUCCGGUGGUUCUGUAUGGAAGGGCCAUCGCUCAACGGAUAAAAGGUACUCUGGGGAUAACAGGCUGAUACCGCCCAAGAGUUCAUAUCGACGGCGGUGUUUGGCACCUCGAUGUCGGCUCAUCUCAUCCUGGGGCUGUAGCCGGUCCCAAGGGUAUGGCUGUUCGCCAUUUAAAGAGGUACGUGAGCUGGGUUUAAAACGUCGUGAGACAGUUUGGUCCCUAUCUGCCGUGGGCGUUGGAUAUUUGAAGGGGGCUGCUCCUAGUACGAGAGGACCGGAGUGGACGAACCUCUGGUGUACCGGUUGUGACGCCAGUCGCAUCGCCGGGUAGCUAUGUUCGGAAGAGAUAACCGCUGAAAGCAUCUAAGCGGGAAACUCGCCUUAAGAUGAGAUAUCCCUGGAGGCUUGACCUCCUUGAAGGGUCGUUCGAGACCAGGACGUUGAUAGGUCGGGUGUGUAAGCGCAGUAAUGCGUUCAGCUAACCGAUACUAAUUGCCCGUAAGGCUUGAUCCU
rnacentral:rRNA from 1 species